CUCUAAAUGUAAGCAAGAAAUAUAGUACAUUCCUUGCACAGUGCUUCUUUCUCCUGCAACACGUCUUUUUUUUUAUAAAGCAGGCUCCAAACUAUUCACAAUCCUGCACACUAGGAUGCUACAUUUUAGAAGUCUGCAAUCACACGAAAUACACCACAUUAAAUAAUAUUGUAAACUGAGUGUUGCUAGGAACAGGGUUUAGUAAAUGUUGAGCCAAAAUAGCCAAACUGAAAAAAACUAGCUUAGUUGGUGUACUUUUCAAAUUUUUAUUUUUUUUGUCUAAAAUUUGAAAAUACCAAAUUAAAUUCAAC